AUAUAAUAAAUCAUAGUGGCAUCUGUCGGGUAAAU
rnacentral:guide_RNA from 1 species